UACGAAGGGUGCAAACGUUGCUCGGAAUUAUUGGGCGUAAAGCGCGCGUAGGCGGCUUGGCAAGUCGGAUGUGAAAUCCCUCGGCUCAACCAAGGAAGUGCAUCCGAAACUGCUGAGCUUGAGUACUUAAGAGGAUCGCGGAAUUCCCAGUGUAGAGGUGAAAUUCGUAGAUAUUGGGAGGAACACCGGUGGCGAAGGCGGCGACCUGGGUUGACACUGACGCUGAGGCGCGAAAGCUAGGGUAGCAAACGGG
rnacentral:rRNA from 1 species